rnacentral:hammerhead_ribozyme from 2 species
AUCUAACUGACGAGUCUCAAAUAGGACAAAAUGUAUGUCCUGGAU